UUUUAUUGACCAAUUUGUAAACAGUGUUGGAAGCUUCAGAUUCAAUCUUGGAUGCCGUGAUAAAAAGCAAUGCGACUUUAUACGGACUCGUCGUGCACAAGAUUCAAUUGCAAGGAGUAUAUCUAAUAGUUCGGCAGAUUCUACAUUAUAUACGUGCACCGAUUGCUGCAGUUCUAACUUAUGUAAUAGUGGUGGCUGCGGGGAAAAUGAAUUCGUUGCAAUUUCUUCUGGCCAAAGAGGUCCGAUAUGCUUCAACUGCGACCAACAAAGUUCUCAGAAUGACUGCAACAAAAUAAGAGUAUGCGGCCGUGACGAGGCAUGUUCACUUAACACAACUUCGGUAGGGACUAGCCAGCAGACGCUAUGGCGAUCUGGAUGCAUCCAUAAUCCGACAUGUCAUCAUUCAGGCGGAGGAGGCUGCCAUGGGGGUUGCUGCACCAAUGACCUCUGUAACGAUGCUUGCUAAGUCAAGGACGUUUGUAAAAAAUCUGAAUGGCCCCUCCGAGGUGCUGUACAUUUCACACAUGGUUUGGGAGAUACGUAUAGUUAAAAAACAGAUUUCCAUUUCAUGUUGUUUUCACAAAAUUAAUACUUUGAAUUGUUUUGCUCAUUAAAAAAUAUAAUUAU